GGAAGUACGACAAACAAGGAUCAUUUACAUGUAUCUGUUUCAACUCCUCAUUAGGAUAGAUGUUGAAUAAUAAGCAAACCACAGAAUCUUAUAGUUCCAGGAGCCUAGACCCGAGAAGAAGAUCUCCAACCAAAGAAUUAAAACACAGGCUGACAUAGAACAAGAAAUUACCUCAAGAACAAAUACUGAGACAC